rnacentral:rRNA from 1 species
AUGCAAGUCGAGCGGUAGCACAAGAGAGCUUGCUCUCUGGGUGACGAGCGGCGGACGGGUGAGUAAUGUCUGGGAAACUGCCUGAUGGAGGGGGAUAACUACUGGAAACGGUAGCUAAUACCGCAUGACGUCUUCGGACCAAAGUGGGGGACCUUCGGGCCUCACGCCAUCAGAUGUGCCCAGAUGGGAUUAGCUAGUAGGUGGGGUAAUGGCUCACCUAGGCGACGAUCUCUAGCUGGUCUGAGAGGAUGACCAGCCACACUGGAACUGAGACACGGUCCAGACUCCUACGGGAGGCAGCAGUGGGGAAUAUUGCACAAUGGGCGCAAGCCUGAUGCAGCCAUGCCGCGUGUAUGAAGAAGGCCUUCGGGUUGUAAAGUACUUUCAGCGAGGAGGAAGGCAUUAAGGUUAAUAACCUUAGUGAUUGACGUUACUCGCAGAAGAAGCACCGGCUAACUCCGUGCCAGCAGCCGCGGUAAUACGGAGGGUGCAAGCGUUAAUCGGAAUUACUGGGCGUAAAGCGCACGCAGGCGGUUUGUUAAGUCAGAUGUGAAAUCCCC